GCUGGUGUAGCUCAGCAGGCAGAGCAGCGCACUCGUAAUGCGCAGGCCGGGGGUUCGAAUCCCCCCACCAGCUCAA
rnacentral:tRNA from 2 species